AUUGAACGCUGGCGGCAUGCCUUACACAUGCAAGUCGAACGGCAGCACGGGUGCUUGCACCUGGUGGCGAGUGGCGAACGGGUGAGUAAUACAUCGGAACAUGUCCUGUAGUGGGGGAUAGCCCGGCGAAAGCCGGAUUAAUACCGCAUACGAUCUACGGAUGAAAGCGGGGGACCUUCGGGCCUCGCGCUAUAGGGUUGGCCGAUGGCUGAUUAGCUAGUUGGUGGGGUAAAGGCCUACCAAGGCGACGAUCAGUAGCUGGUCUGAGAGGAGGACCAGCCACACUGGGACUGAGACACGGCCCAGACUCCUACGGGAGGCAGCAGUGGGGAAUUUUGGACAAUGGGCGAAAGCCUGAUCCAGCAAUGCCGCGUGUGUGAAGAAGGCCUUCGGGUUGUAAAGCACUUUUGUCCGGAAAGAAAUCCUUGGCCCUAAUACGGUCGGGGGAUGACGGUACCGGAAGAAUAAGCACCGGCUAACUACGUG
rnacentral:rRNA from 1 species